CCAGAGAACUUAGCAGAGAUGCUUUGGUGCCUUCGGGAAUCUGAGACAGGUGCUGCAUGGCUGUCGUCAGCUCGUGUUGUGAAUGUUGGGUUAAGUCCCGCAACGAGCGCAACCCUUAUCCUUUGUUGCCAGCGAUUCGGUCGGGAACUCAAAGGAGACUGCCGGUGAUAAACCGGAGGAAGGUGGGGAUGACGUCAAGUCAUCAUGGCCCUUACGGCCAGGGCUACACACGUGCUACAAUGGCGCAUACAAAGAGAAGCGACCUCGCGAGAGCAAGCGGACCUCAUAAAGUGCGUCGUAGUCCGGAUUGGAGUCUGCAACUCGACUCCAUGAAGUCGGAAUCGCUAGUAAUCGUAGAUCAGAAUGCUACGGUGAAUACGUUCCCGGGCCUUGUACACACCGCCCGUCACACCAUGGGAGUGGGUUGCAAAAGAAGUAGGUAGCUUAACCUUCGGGAGGGCGCUUACCACUUUGUGAUUCAUGACUGGGGUGAAGUCGUAACAAGGUAGGCGUAGCGAG
rnacentral:rRNA from 1 species